rnacentral:rRNA from 1 species
UACAGAGGGUGCAAGCGUUGUUCGGAAUUAUUGGGCGUAAAGGGCGCGUAGGCGGUUCGGCAAGUCUCUAGUGAAAUCUCAGGGCUCAACUCUGAGUCUGCUGGGGAAACUGCCGGGCUUGAGUGUGGGAGAGGAGAGUGGAAUUCCUGGUGUAGCGGUGAAAUGCGCAGAUAUCAGGAGGAACACCGGUGGCGAAGGCGGGUCUCUGGGCCGAUACUGACGCUGAGGAGCGAAAGCGUGGGGAGCGAACAGG